rnacentral:lncRNA from 1 species
AUGCUGGGAUCCCCAGGAUCUCCCAAAUCCCAAAUGUGGAUUGGGAGGAGUUCGGGAAUGUUGGAAAAGGGGCUGGGAUUUGGGAAAGGUGGGAAAGCUCCUGAUCCCAGCUGGGAAUGGGAAUUGUUUGGGAAUUGUUUGGGAAUUCUUUGGGAAUUCCUUGAAAAUUCCUUGGGAAUUCUUUGGGAAUUCUUUGAGAAAUCUUUGGGAAUUCUUUGGAAAGUUUUUGGGAAUUCUUUGGGAAUUUGUUGGGAAUUCUUUGGAAAGUUUUUGGGAAUUCUCAGCACCGUUGCUCCCACCCAGGGUGGGACAAUUCCCGCUGGGAAUUCCUCUGGAAUGGGUGGGAAAUCAGCUCAGGCCAAUCCCAAAUCCCAGCUUUGGGAAUUCUGGGAUCCGUGCGGAUCCAGGUGGAGGCAGCAACGCAUCCCAAGGAUUUGUUGGGAAUGUUGGGAAUGUUUGGAAUGUUGCCUGGGAUCCCGUUCCAGCUCCCGGCCGGGUUUGUUUCCUGGAUCAGGCUGCAGAUCCCGGGAAAAGGCGACGCUCAGAGCCUGGAAAGAAUUCCCAGGGUUCCAAUCCCGGCCUCCUCCAGCCCCGGAAUCUCUAGCAGCAUUCCCGAGAUUCCGGCUUUUCCACCGGCAUUCCCGAAUUCCCAGCGGCACCGAGAUUCCGGCUUUUCCACUUCUGGGGAGCAGAUCCAGGGAUCCAGCCCAGGAUUUUUUGGGAGCUGAUCCCAGGAUUCACUCCCGGGUUUUUGGGGAUAAAUGCUGGGAUCCAUCCCAACAUUUUAGGGGAGUUUUGGGAGCAGAUCCCAGGAUCCAUCCCAGAUUUUGGGGGAUAAAUCCCAGGAUCCAUCCCAGAUUUUGGGGGAUAAAUCCCAGGAUCCAUCCCAGAUUUUGGAGGAUAAAUCCCAGGAUUCAUCCCAGGAUUUUGGGAGCUGAUCCCAGGAUCCAUCCCGGAUUUUGGGAGCUGAUCCCAGGAUCCAUCCCAGGAUUUGCUGGGGGGCCGUUCCCCGUUUUCCUGGCUCCGGCAGAGCCCGGAAUUCCUCUUCCAACUUUUUUCCCUUGGAUCCCUGAGUUCCCGGGAUCCGGGAGCUCAGCGGAGCCGCUGGAUCGGGACUGA